GAGCACAGAAGUACCUCUAUGGCAUCCUGCAGUAUUGCUGUCCCAGGCACAAGCUCUCCUCAGCCUACAGCUGAACACAGAAGACAAUGAAAUACAUCGCUUUGCUGUGCAAGAGGUCUCCCAGAUGAAGCAGAAAGGCAGCCCUUGCCCUUUAUGAAUUUAGCAGCUGAAGACUCCAACUCUUCACACCUUGCCAUUCUUACUCCAGUGUUGCACUGCUCAGCACUGGAGAAAUCGAACCCAAGAGGACACUCAGCGCUUUUAUUGCAGCCAACAAAAUUAAAGGCAAAAAGUCCAAUACCCCCUCUUCAUUUUCUUUGGACUGUCCUGUGCUGUGCUGUGCAUUAUGGAAUGGUUCAAAGUUGCAGUAAAACCUUCCCUUCUCUCGGCAAAAGAAAAAGCUAAGAAGCAUCGAAAAGAACGAAGCUGCUCCUUUGAUCAUGCACUACUCACGAUGAAUCAAAACCCACCAGAGCACUCUGCCAGAUCUUUUGUGGUAAAGCAGCAUCCUCUCUUUGCAACGAGCCUUUCUACUUCCUUCCACAAAAUGAGACAUCAGAGGAACACCACUGGCAGAGGAAGCUGACAAAAGGAAGGUAUCCUGAGCGAAAAUCAUUCCCCUCCUAAGACUGUAUUUGGAUAUCUCAGAGGUUUCUGGGAAAACGGCUCAGCACACGCAUUAUGUUCCCCAGCACCCCGGCUGUUAGCAGCUGGAUGCGGUGUUUCAGCAGCCACUCUUGAAGGAAAUGUAACAGCAAUUUUCAAUAAUAGACAGUAAGUAUCUGUGGAUGUAACUGGGAGCCCAAUUUUGCAAUGUGCCCCCCCCCGGUUUGUCGUUUGAAGCACAGUCCCACAGAAGUUACUAGCCAGGAUGCUGCAGUCUGUAAGCUGUAAGAACAGGCUCUGAGCAGCUGAUUUGCUGACCUGCACAAAGCGCUGUGAACGCAGAACAUCACUCUUAAGGGACAUGAAAUAUACACUGAGGCAUCACUAAGGUGAACCCACAAAUUGAGCUUGUAGCAUUUUCCUUUCUAAAGCACCACUGAGACCAGGGGAAGGUGGUUCAGGGAUUGAACGUGAACAUAAGCCUUAACAGAUCCUACUUCAGCCUCGUGUUCCACUGCUACUUUUUCUUAAUCUAAAUUUAGGUAAGACGUUUAAAUAUGGAUCAUUAAAAAUACCUGUGUUCCAUUUUGCUCAGUACUGCAGUGCUUUGUGCCCAGACAACCUGGGAAUGUAAGUCUUGAGACUCCAGAAGCUCAAGCUGCACUUGAGCCCUCAGCAGCUGUGCUUUCAGACUAUCAUGGGAGAAUAGUACUUUAGGACAGAAGAGUGUCCUUGGGGAACUGGGAAAUAAACUCCACUGAAUCACCAACCUGCCCAGGAGUGACCCGGUGUGAAAGAUGUUUGCAUGAUAAAACAGCAGCCCCACAUGCCUGUCUGCCUGGCAGAAGGCAGGGGCAGUUUCUAUCCCAUCCCAUCCCAAUCACCACAUCCCAUCCCAACUGAAACCACCACCUGCCCAUGCCUUCCUGCAGUGCCCCUGCAUGCCUCCAGCUCUUCCCUGGAUGGAUGCCCUUUGAGAUCCCUUCUCCAUGUAGGAGAAUAGAUCCCCUUUUCUGGUCUCCACCAGUGACUAUUUCCCUGACACAUUCUGCAUGAGCUGCAUGAGUUCAGAUAAUGAAGAUCUGUCUGUAUGUAAUGUGGUGGGCUUUACUCUACCGUAAGUUACUCCAGCUUUAAAGCAAGGCUGAAUCAAUCUGUUUCUCACAAAAUAUUAUGUUUUGAAGUCUUUUUGAAGUCUUUUACAGAAACAUAUUCUGGAAAACUCUACACAUGACUAUGCCAGUAAUGUCUCUAAAUGUUCUCUCCAGUGAAAGGACUGAUUAAAAAAAAAAUGCAAUUCCUUCCUAACUACUCACUGUGCCUCUCCCCUUCUGCGUAGAACGCAGUCAAGUGAUGGGAUCAUGUGCGUCUUAGUGACAAAUACAGUUGAGCUAAUGCAGGAAGAGGCUGUGUUCAAGAUGGAAAUGACCCACUGAAGCUGCAGUGUCAGAUAUUGCAUGGUUG
ensembl:lncRNA